GACCGCUUCAUCUUUGAACGUGACUCAUUAGGGCUGCAACACCGGUGGGGAUGAUGAUACAUUUACGUUACUGACUUUAACUUGACGUUCAUUCCUCGUUUGAUCAGCAUUACAAAGCUUCUUGGGGCAGCCUCCUACUGAUAAAUAAUACAUGUGGCAGUGCAAAGAAUGCAGUUUGGAACUAGCUAGCAGUUGCUCUCUCAUAAAGGUGUCCUUGAACACCUUGAAACUCCAAAAAUAGACCAGCUAUCAACUGGUGUCCGUGAAUACAGAACUGUAAGAGACGGGAGCAUUACGGUGGAUUUGAGCUAACUGCCUCACCCACUAGAGAGGUUGCCCUGAUUGAGGUUGCUGAAUUGGAAGACUCAUAUCCCCUUGUGGAGUACACAAUUGGGGGUUUGCGCAUGGUAAUGUUGAAAAGAUUCAUCAUCGUUAAAGAUUAAAAGUGUUCCAUAAUGGCGAGUCAAACUGUUCUGCGGAUAAUCUUUGGUGAUGAGUCUGAUUCAAGAAAAUUGACUCUGGCUUCUGGAAUUCCAGCAACAGUGGAAGAACUGGA